GCCCGGCCGUAUAAGGCGCGUCUGCCGAGAGGGACCGCCCACGACCCUCAGCGCCAGGCCCGGAAAGGAGAACCCAGGGAGAGGGAAGGAAGGAGGGAAGGAAGGCGGCCCUCUUGCCCUCCCUCCUUCCCUCGGGCUCAGCCUCACCUGGGCGCCUCCAAGGGGAAGCCCACCUUGUCAGGUGAGGCCCGUCCUACCUGGGAAGACCUACCAGCCACAACCUGCCCGCGUCCCUUCAUUGAGAGGCACCUGGGCGCCGCAAAGGGGAAGCAAAGAUGGAGAGGGUCCCCCCAGAGCUGCUUUAAGGCAGGGCUUUUCAGCCCCUUUUCCUCCUGAUACAUUUGUAUGUGACCCCUUCACCACAGGUAGGGGUAAAGGUAGGUAAAGGUUUUCCCCUGACAUUAAGUCCAGUCGUGUCCGACUCGGAAUUACUGCUCAUCUCCAUUUCUAAACCGAAGAGCCGGCGUUGUCCGUAGACACCUCCAAGGUCAUGCGGCCGGCAUGACUUUAUGGAGCGCCGUUACCUUCCCGCUGGAGUGGUACCUAUUGAUCUACUCACAUUUGUAUGUUUUCAAACUGCUAGGUUGGCAGAAACUGGGGCUAACAGCGGGGCGCUCAUCUUGCUCCCUGGAUUCGAACCUGUGAUCUUUCGGUCCACAAGUUCAGCAGCUCAGCGCUUUAACAUGCUGCACCAUCGGGGGCUUCCCAGUACAGUAAGGUAAAGGUAAAGGUUUUCCCUGACAUUAAGUCCAGUCAUGUCUGACUCUGGGGGUUGGUGCUCAUCUCCAUUUCUAAGCCGAUGAGCCGGUGUUGUCCGUAGACACCUCUAAGGUCAUGUGGCCAGCAUGACUGCAUGGAGUGCCCUUACCUUCCCGUCGGAGCGGUACCUAUUGAUCUACUCACAUGUGUAUGUUUUCGAACUGCUAGGUUGGCAGAAGCUGGAGAUAACAGCAGGCGCUCAGUCUGAUCCCCGGAUUUGAACCUGGGACCUUUCAGUCUGCAAGUUCAGCAGCUCAGUGCUUUAACACACUUUGCCACUGGGGCUCUGUACAGUAGAGUCUUCCAAUACAGUAGAGUCUCACUUAUCCAAGACUCGCUUAUCCAAAGUUCUGGAUUAUCCAAUGCAUUUUUGUAUUAUUAUUAUUAUUAUUAUUAUUAUUAAACUUUAUUUGUACCCCGCUAGCAUCUCCCGAAGGACUCGAUGCGGCUUACAACGGCCAAGGCCUCAACACACAAUAUAACAAUACAAAACAAAAGGCAAAUUAAAACAGUAUAAACAACAAGCAGUAAACAAUACGCUAAAACACAAUAAAACUGGGCCGGGCCAGAGUAAUGGGUACAAGAUUAAAAGUGCUGAUGUGACAGGUGAAAUAUAAGGCUUAUAGGGCAAGUGCAGAGUGCGAUAUGCAAUCUAAGUUCUAAUAAAGUGCUUAUAGGACUUGGUAUUGGAGGUUUCCUAUUAAUCUGGGAAGGCACAUUGGAACAGCCAGGUCUUCAAGUUCUUUUUGUAGUCAAUGUUUUCAAUAUAUUGUGAUAUUUUGGUGCUAAAUUCGUAAAUACAGUAAUUACAACAUAACAUUACUGCGUAUUGAAUUACUCUUUCUGUCAAAUUUGUUGAAUAACAAGAUGUUUUGGUGCUUAAUUUGUAAAAUCAUAACCUAAUUUGAUGUUUAAUAGGCUUUUCCUUAAUCCCUCCUUAUUAUCCAAGAUAUUCACUUAUCCAAGGUUCUGCCAGCCCAUUUAGCUUGGAUAAGUGAGACUCUACUGUACAUACAAUACCACAGGUAUAUAGGUAAAGGUAAAGGUUUCCCCUGACGUUAGUCCAGUCAUGUCUGACUCUGGGAGUUUGUGCUCAUCUCCAUUUCAUAACCGAAGAGCUGGCAUUGUCCGUAGACACCUCCAAGGUCAUGUGGCCGGCAUAACUGCAUGGAGCGCCGUUACCUUCCCGCGGGAGCGGUACCUAUUGAUCUACUCACAUGUGUAUGUUUUUGAACUGCUAGGUUGGCAGGAGCUGGAGCUAACAGCGGGCGCUCAAGCCGCUCCCGGGAUUUGAACCUGGGACCUUUCAGUCUGCAAGUUCAGCAGCUCAGUGCUUUAAUGCACUUCGCCACCGGGGCUCCCACCACAGGAUUGCUUGGAAGCUGCAACAUUCUUUUUUGGAAAAACAAAUGGAUAUAUUUCAUCACUGCAUCUGAUAAAAACAACAUUUUUAAGCGGAAGGUUUGCAAAAUGCUGUAGAAGUACACAUUUGUUCACGAUACUGGCAGUAGUCAUCGGCCUAUUACUUGUUGCACAUAUUGCCCAUUUUGUACAUUCCUAAAACCAGGUUCAAUGUGAUUGUCAGCUGCUUUUUUUUUUUUUUAAACUCUAGAACACAGUUUAAUCUCGGCUUCAACUACACAAUUCAAUAUGUAGUCCUGAUAUGAGCACACACUCUUAAUAUAUAUAUGCAAUAGAAUAAAAUGGAAUUAAAAUUUAGCUGUGGUUGUAUGUGAAUAGAUGGAUAUAAAACAGUUGUCUUGAUCUUUAUUCUUACCCAUCUUAAAUGCACACUGGUAUUUCAAUUAUGUGUUUCUAUGAUAAGUACAUAUUUUGUUACAUCAACAGCUUUUAGGGUUAAAGCAAUAAACUGAAGUUCAGAAGUAAUGGAAAUGACACAUUUAAGUGGCUGCUUUAAGUUAAGUUUUUAUAUUGUAAUCCUAUGCACAUCUACUUGGUGGUAAACUCUUUGAGUCUAUAUUUUAGAUUAACUUCAUAAUAAGAUAGAACAGGGCAAUGGUUCUCAACCUGUGGGUCCCCAGAUGUUUUGGCCUUCAACUCCCAGAAAUCCUAAGAGCUGGUAAAUUGGCUGGGAUUUCUGGGAGUUGUAGGCCAAAGAAAAAAAACAAAACAAAAAAAAACAAAAACAAAAAAACACCUGGGGACUCACAGGUUGAAAGCUUACCUCGUUCUGGCCCAUAUACAGACCCUGAGUAAAUAAUGAUACAAGGGAAAACCCACUGGAUGUAGAGAAAACGAAUAGCAGUGUGUAAUACUUUUUAAUGUUAAAUACAGCAACGUAAAUCUGACAAAAAUGUAGAUCAAAGACUCCCACCUCCAGUCCAUAAUAUUGGAUGCAGUUAUAUGGCAGGAGGUUGGACUAGAUGACCCUUGUGAUCUAUUCCAAUUAUAUUAUUUUGAUUCUAUAAAAGGUAGAUAAUACUUCAAAAUGAAAGCUGAUGAUGCACUUCUCCUCUUUAAAAAAGUUGCAUCAGUUGUAAAAAUAUCUAGUAAUUUAUUGAUCCCAAGAUGCUUGCUAUCUUUACUGAAUCAGAGCUAUCUAGUAUACUGAACUUCUGUUUGAUACUCCUUAAUUAAAAUCUAUUUCCAGAGGGGCAUGUUUUUUUUUCUAAGUUGGUGUGAACAUUUCCAGAUAAGUCUAUUCUUCCUAACAGAUUCAGCUCUUCCACUCUUAGAGCCAUAUUAGCAUAGCAAGAAGGGAAGCUAUGGAAUGGUAGCUGUACUUUUAAAACUAGAAAUUGGAUUCUCUUCAACUGAUUUAACUUAUGACCUUCUCAGCUGUUGGAUCAAGUUCUUUUUAUCAGGCAUCCAGCCAAGAAUAAAAGCAAAAUGUUAAGGUAAUGCAAACUGCUUUGCAGUCCAUCUGUGCAGCCUGUAGGAAAGUGUCGCCUUCAAUGCGUCAGAUUAAACCAAGUAAUUCUUAAAAGAAUUUGAAAUUACAAUUGUAUGGAUUGUACAGCAAGCCAUUAACCAGAACCAACUUGAUCUCAAACGGAGAAGAGGAGAUUCUUCCAGGAAAAGCUUUCCAAGGAGAACUACUUUCUAGAUCUCACAUCAUUACUUAGCUUAUAGUAAACCGUAUUUUCAGUUAUGUGUGGCCUUGCACUAGCAAAAACAACAUUCAUAACAGAAGGCAGGAUGCCCAAAUUUUGUCAAUCCUGCUGCUGUGUCUACCAGGAUUCUCCAGAACACUCAUGAAAUGGUGGAUUUACUAAACAUGUCCUUUUAUGAAUGCAUUAAGACAUCCUCUUCAGUUUAGUUAUGAAAACAAGACAUACCUUCAGUUUCUUCAUUCAGUAUCACCUCUGAUCUAUCAGAAGCCAGGACACAUAAUUUGCUCAAACCAAGGAGAGUUUUCUUCUUUGCAAAGUACCGAGUUUCUGUAUUGGCUAAAUUCUGCAGUGUUCGGUGAGCCUAAACAAUUAAAUUUCAAGUUUUUACAAAUU